rnacentral:rRNA from 1 species
CUGUGCUAAUACCGCAUACGACCUGAGGGUGAAAGCGGGGGAUCGCAAGACCUCGCGCGAUAGGAGCGGCCGAUAUCGGAUUAGCUUGUUGGUGAGGUAAAGGCUCACCAAGGCGACGAUCCGUAGCUGGUCUGAGAGGACGACCAGCCACACUGGAACUGAGACACGGUCCAGACUCCUACGGGAGGCAGCAGUGGGGAAUUUUGGACAAUGGGGGCAACCCUGAUCCAGCCAUUCCGCGUGAGUGAAGAAGGCCUUCGGGUUGUAAAGCUCUUUCAGCAGGAACGAAACGGUGGCUACUAAUACUAGCUACUAAUGACGGUACCUGAAGAAGAAGCACCGGCUAACUACGUGCCAGCAGCCGCGGUAAUACGUAGGGUGCGAGCGUUAAUCGGAAUUACUGGGCGUAAAGCGUGCGCAGGCGGUUAUGUAAGACAGGUGUGAAAUCCCCGGGCUUAACCUGGGAACUGCGCUUGUGACUGCAUAACUCGAGUGUGGCAGAGGGGGGUGGAAUUCCACGUGUAGCAGUGAAAUGCGUAGAGAUGUGGAGGAACACCGAUGGCGAAGGCAGCCCCCUGGGUCAACACUGACGCUCAUGCACGAAAGCGUGGGGAGCAAACAGGAUUAGAUACCCUGGUAGUCCACGCCCUAAACGAUGCGAACUAGGUGUUGGGGAAGGAGACUUUCUUAUACCGCAGCUAACGCGUGAAGUUCGCCGCCUGGGGAGUACGGUUGCAAGAUUAAAACUCAAAGGAAUUGACGGGGACCCGCACAAGCGGUGGAUGAUGUGGAUUAAUUCGAUACAACGCGAAAAACCUUACCUACCCUUGACAUGUCAGGAAGUCCGCUGAGAGGUGGAUGUGCUCGAAAGAGAACCUGAACACAGGUGCUGCAUGGCUGUCGUCAGCUCGUGUCGUGAGAUGUUGGGUUAAGUCCCGCAACGAGCGCAACCCUUGUCAUUAAUUGCCAUCAUUCAGUUGGGCACUUUAAUGAGACUGCCGGUGACAAACCGGAGGAAGGUGGGGAUGACGUCAAGUCCUCAUGGCCCUUAUGGGUAGGGCUUCACACGUCAUACAAUGGUCGGUACAGAGGGUCGCCAACCCGCGAGGGGGAGCCAAUCCCACAAAGCCGAUCGUAGUCCGGAUCGCAGUCUGCAACUCGACUGCGUGAAGUCGGAAUCGCUAGUAAUCGUGGAUCAGCAUGUCACGGUGAAUACGUUCCCGGGUCUUGUACACACCGCCCGUCACACCAUGGGAGUGGGUUCCACCAGAAGUAGGUAGUCUAACCGCAAGGAGGGCGCUUACCACCG